rnacentral:rRNA from 1 species
UACGUAGGGUGCAAGCGUUGUCCGGAAUUAUUGGGCGUAAAGAGCUCGUAGGCGGUUUGUCGCGUCUGCUGUGAAAACUGGAGGCUCAACCUCCAGCCUGCAGUGGGUACGGGCAAACUAGAGUGCGGUAGGGGAGAUUGGAAUUCCUGGUGUAGCGGUGAAAUGCGCAGAUAUCAGGAGGAACGCCGGUGGCGAAGGCGGGUCUCUGGGCCGAUACUGACGCUGAGGAGCGAAAGCGUGGGGAGCGAACAGG